UACGUAGGGGGCAAGCGUUGUCCGGAUUUAUUGGGCGUAAAGAGCGUGUAGGCGGUCCGGUAAGUCGGUUGUGAAAGUCCAGGGCUCAACCCUGGGAUGCCGACCGAUACUGUCGGACUAGAGUUCGGAAGAGGCGAGUGGAAUUCCCGGUGUAGCGGUGAAAUGCGCAGAUAUCGGGAGGAACACCAAUGGCGAAGGCGGCAUCCUGGACCGAAACUGACACUGAGGCGCGAAAGCCAGGGGAGCAAACGGG
rnacentral:rRNA from 1 species